AUGGAGACACAGGGCCGCAGACUGUUCAUCCGUCACCCGGGAGGCCGUUAGGGGCUCUCCGUCCACCCCAGCCGUAGAUCUCUUUUCCCAUCAGGCCUUCGGGUUCAGCGCGCCUUCCCAUCCCCUCUCGACCUAAAUACCUAAACCCUGCAGGGGCAUGUGCCGUAAUGCUGUGCCAGGAGUUGCUCCGCGUCAUGGAGGCCACCAACACCUGUCAUCCUCCCAUCACAGACAUGGUACCAGAAAUAGACCAGCAGAGUGGACGGGAAACACGUCGCUUACUGUUCAAAGCUACACGAGCGCCACUUCCUGGCCGGGACUCAGCCUUGACGCAGCUCCUCCAUCAAGUCACGUCUGCCCCUCUCAAACAACAGAGAACCGCCGGUGGUUUACUCACGGAGGCGCAUCCAGUAGUCGCGCACGCCGAGCAGCGCGCCGCACAGACCCAGAAGCAGCGACAUGACAAGGAAAGAGUCCGCGAGGAGACGUCGCGAGGAGCUACUCUCUGCCUCCUUUCCUUGUUCACUCUGGCGAUGUUGGAUCUUAUGUCAGGAUGUGGACGCGCCUUGUUCGCCCCCCUCCCCUCCCGACACAAACACUUUACAUCUCACCCAGCAGCGGGUGGGACGGGCCCGUUCAUCAGCAAAACCUGAUGUUAUAACUUUGUCUACUUCUGAUGCCGCACGUAUUAACGCCGAUAUUACAAUAGGGAUGUGAGGGUUUCUGGGGUAAAUAUAUACAUUUUAAAAUUAUUUUUCUUAGUUUUUGUAUUGCACCAGCUCAACAAGCCCCUCCCCCGCCAAUGCUCAUUUGCAUGACGCGAAAUUUAUAUACAGGAUAACGUUUGAGUUAAUACCUUUGAGAAAAGUUAAAUCCAUUAAUAAAAGUACCAAUUUAAAAUGUC